AUUUUAGAGUGCUGCUUGGACUAC
rnacentral:rRNA from 1 species